GAGACGUCAAUCAUCAUGCCCCUUAUGUCCUGGGCUACACACGUAAUACAAUGGCGGUCAACAGAGGGAUGCAAAACCGUGAGGUGGAGCGAUCCCUAAAAGCCGUCUCAGUUCAGAUUGUGGGCUGCAACCCGCCCACAUGAAGUCGGAAUCGCUAGUAAUCGCGGAUCAACAUGCCGCGGUGAAUACGUUCCCGGGCCUUGUACACACCGCCCGUCACACCAUGAGAGUCGGGAACACCCGAAGUCCGUAGCCUAACCCUUAGGAGGGCGCGGCCGAAGGUGGGUUCGAUAAUUGGGGUGAAGUCGUAACA
rnacentral:rRNA from 1 species